AUAAUACUCCAUAGAUUAGAGACACUGGAAUGUUCUUUAGUCGAAAGUUCUGGCGCCUUAGGAUGGAUCUGCGGUCGAUUAGGUUGUUGUUGGGGUAACGGCCCAACAAGCCUGUAAUCGAUACGGGUUGUGGGAGCAAGAGCCCGGAGAUGGAAUCUGAGACACGAUUCCAGGCCCUACGGGGCGCAGCAGGCGCGAAAACUUUACAAUGCAGGAAACUGUGAUAAGGGAACUCCGAGUGCCCGUAUACGCGGGCUGUCCAGGUGUUUAAAAAUCAUCUGAAGAAAGAGCCGGGCAAGACCGGUGCCAGCCGCCGCGGUAAUACCGGCGGCUCGAGUGGUGGCCACUAUUAUUGGGCUUAAAGCGUCCGUAGCUGGACCGAUAAGUCUCUUGGGAAAUCCGCCGGCUCAACCGGCGGGCGUCUAAGGGAUACUGUUAGUCUAGGGACCGGGAGAGGUGAGAGGUACUCCGGGGGUAGGAGUGAAAUCCUGUAAUCCCCGGGGGACCACCGAUGGCGAAGGCAUCUCACCAGAACGGCUCCGACAGUGAGGGACGAAAGCUGGGGGAGCGAACCGGAUUAGAUACCCGGGUAGUCCCAGCCGUAAACUAUGCGCGUUAGGUGU
rnacentral:rRNA from 1 species